AAUAUCAACAUACUGACUGCAAUAUUUCUAUCGAUGUUCUUUUACUUGCUAAUAAUCAAAUUGCAGACAUCAACUAUUUGCUCCAAAAAUUGCCAAAUCCUCAAAAGAUGGAAAGCAUAAAAGACAGAAAGGACAUUUUCUUCAUGGAAGGACAUAUUUAACUCACAGCCUCAAGCCUGUUUGUUUAUUUUUCCCCCCAAUGGAAAGGCAAGCAUAAGAUUCCACCCACAGGAACACUAGAUUAAAUCAGGAGGAAUGCCACCGAAAAAAAGCAUAGUGAAGAGAAGGAACAGCACAUCUCAAAAGAGAAAGUGCAUCUGGCU